rnacentral:rRNA from 1 species
ACAGCAGUCGCCACGGGAAUACGGAGGGUGCAAGCGUUAAUCGGAAUUACUGGGCGUAAAGCGCACGCAGGCGGUUUGUUAAGUCAGAUGUGAAAUCCCCGGGCUCAACCUGGGAACUGCAUUUGAAACUGGCAAGCUAGAGUCUCGUAGAGGGGGGUAGAAUUCCAGGUGUAGCGGUGAAAUGCGUAGAGAUCUGGAGGAAUACCGGUGGCGAAGGCGGCCCCCUGGACAAAGACUGACGCUCAGGUGCGAAAGCGUGGGGAGCAAACAGGAUUAGAGACCCCGGAGUCCCUGUCUCUUAUACC